rnacentral:rRNA from 1 species
AGGGUUCGAUUCUGGCUCAGGAUGAACGCUGGCGGCGUGCUUAACACAUGCAAGUCGAACGGGAUCCAUCAGGCUUUGCUUGGUGGUGAGAGUGGCGAACGGGUGAGUAAUGCGUGACCGACCUGCCCCAUGCACCGGAAUAGCUCCUGGAAACGGGUGGUAAUGCCGGAUGCUCCAUCACAUCGCAUGGUGUGUUGGGAAAGCCUUUGCGGCAUGGGAUGGGGUCGCGUCCUAUCAGCUUGAUGGCGGGGUAACGGCCCACCAUGGCUUCGACGGGUAGCCGGCCUGAGAGGGCGACCGGCCACAUUGGGACUGAGAUACGGCCCAGACUCCUACGGGAGGCAGCAGUGGGGAAUAUUGCACAAUGGGCGCAAGCCUGAUGCAGCGACGCCGCGUGAGGGAUGGAGGCCUUCGGGUUGUAAACCUCUUUUGUUAGGGAGCAAGGCACUUUGUGUUGAGUGUACCUUUCGAAUAAGCACCGGCUAACUACGUGCCAGCAGCCGCGGUAAUACGUAGGGUGCAAGCGUUAUCCGGAAUUAUUGGGCGUAAAGGGCUCGUAGGCGGUUCGUCGCGUCCGGUGUGAAAGUCCAUCGCUUAACGGUGGAUCCGCGCCGGGUACGGGCGGGCUUGAGUGCGGUAGGGGAGACUGGAAUUCCCGGUGUAACGGUGGAAUGUGUAGAUAUCGGGAAGAACACCAAUGGCGAAGGCAGGUCUCUGGGCCGUUACUGACGCUGAGGAGCGAAAGCGUGGGGAGCGAACAGGAUUAGAUACCCUGGUAGUCCACGCCGUAAACGGUGGAUGCUGGAUGUGGGGCCCGUUCCACG